GAUGAACGCUAGCGGCGUGCUUUAGGUAUGCAAGUCGAAUGUCGGCCUUCGGGCUAGACAUGGCAGACGGGUGAGUAACACGUAGGAAUCUACCCUUUGGUGGGGAAUAGUCCGUCGAAAGGCGGGGUAAUACCGCAUAACUCGUUUACGAGAAAGGACGUAACUGUCCGCCGAAGGAUGAGCCUGCGCUCUAUCAGCUUGUUGGUGAGGUAAUGGCUCACCAAGGCUAUGACGGAUAGCUGGUCUGAGAGGAUGGUCAGCCACAGGGACACUGCGAUACGGGUCUCACGUCUACGGACGGCAGCAACCGGGAAUCUUGCGCAAUGGGCGAAAGCCUGACGCAGCGACGCCGCGUGCGGGAUGAAGGCCUUCGGGUCGUAAACCGCUUUUAUUUAUUGGUCGACAAUAAGAGAAUAACCACCUGCAAACUACGUGCCAGAAGCCUCGGUGAUACGUAGGGUGGAAGCGUUAUCCGGAUUUAUUGGGCGUAAAGGGUUUCGUAGGCGGUUUGUUAAGUCCAAAUUCAAAGCCUGGGGCUCAACCCCAGAACGGGUUUGGAUACUAACAGACUAGAGGUCUUUUGGGGGUGCUGGAAUUUCUGGUGUAGGGGUGAAAUCCAUUGAUAUCAGAAGGAACGUCAAGGGCGAAGGCAGGCACCUGGGAAUGACCUGACGCUAAGGAACGAAAGCUAGGGGAGCAAAAGGGAUUAGAGACCCCUGUAGUCCUAGCCGUAAACGAUCCCUGCUAGCUGUUCUGUCGUUAGACGGAGUGGCGCAAGCUAACGCGUUAAGCAGGGCGCCUGGGGAGUACGACCGCAAGGUUAAAACUCAAAGGAAUUGACGGGGAUCUGCACAACCGGUGGAGCAUGUGGUUUAAUUCGACACAAAGCGUAGGACCUUACCUGGGCUUGACAUACUAGCGACCGCCAUCGAAAGGUGGCUUUCCUUCGGGACGCUAAUACAGCUGCUGCAUGGCUGCCGUCAGCUCGUGCCGUAGGGUGUUUCCUUAAGUGGAUAAACGAGCGCAACCCUUACUGUAUGUUAAAUAUUCAUACGGAACUGCCCGUGUCUAACGCGGGAGGAAGGAGAGGACGACGACUAGUCAGCAUGGUGCUUAUGUCCAGGGCUACACACAUCCUACAAUGGGUGCAACAACGGGUCGCCAAAGAGUAAUCUGGAGCUAAUCCCUUAAAUGCAUCCUCAGUUGGGAUUGUGGGCUGAAAUUCGCCCACAUGAACACGGAAUCGGUAGUAAUCGCGGGUCAGCAGACCGCGGUGAAUACGUUCCCAGAUCUUGUACACACCGCCCGUCAAACCAGCAAAGUCGGGAGUACCCGAAGUCCCGAAAUUUCGGGAUUAAGGUAAGCU
rnacentral:rRNA from 1 species